rnacentral:lncRNA from 1 species
CCCGGGAGGCCGCGGAGCGCAGCGAACGGGUUCUCAUCGUGCAGGGGCGGAGGCGGCGGAACAAGUGCCGGCAGGGAGGAGGAGAAGCGGAUGCUGGAAAUGGCUGCUACGACGGCGGCUACAGGAGCUUGUGAUUUGCAGUGUGGGAUGUUGAAUAGCAUGGAUUAUGGUUCUUGUACCGCCAGGCGACGCCUCGCCAUGAAUGAUGGCGUGGCGGCGGUGUUAGCAGCGCGAGCAACAGCUCCACAGGAAACACUCCAGGUGUCUCCGAUACCAAUUGUUAGCAAUAGCAGUGGACAAGCAUCCUCGCAUGGAGGGGGGAAUGUUAGCAGCGCGAGCAACAGCUCCACAGGAAACACUCCAGCAGAAUCAAGGACCAGCCGGCGUCCGCACAAGCCCAAUCCCAAAUUCGUGGGCCGCGACUGGGUCGCCUGAUGGGCCGACCUUGUAAUAGGAGUAUUAGAGUGAGAGAGGGUAACAGAGGAGAGCAGAGAAGAAUCUACGCUGUCACUAUUGUUCUUCUUCCUCUCCAAGCUAUCUGCUCCUCCCCCAAACUCUGUUUCUCGGAUUGUUCGCUGCUUGUCCACUGCUAUUGCUAACAGGCGGCGAGAAGGAAUCUGUGGCAGUUUGCUGCCGCGCAUCCACUAGAUUCCGGCGCACGUAUG